rnacentral:lncRNA from 1 species
UUAAAUGUUAAUAACAAAGUGAUAAAAACACAAGUAUUUUUAUCUUGGUUCGCUAGAAUUUUGUAUGUUACAAAUUACUACUACACAAGAAAGUUUUACACAAAUGAUAAACAAAUAUGUAAAAAAAAACUGUGUACAUAAUUGAUAGCUUUUCACAAAGAAACAGACUUGUCAAAUUAUUGUAGCAUUCUUGUUUUCUUUAAGUUUCC